rnacentral:rRNA from 1 species
UGCAAGUCGUACGGAAAAGAAAUUUUUAGUGGCGAACGGGUGAGUAACGCGUGAGAAUUUGCCUUUAGGAAGAGGAUAACAUUUAGAAAUAAAUGCUAAAACUCUAUAUAAUACCUUUACGGGGAAAAAAGUAAUUUGCCUAAAGAGAAGCUCGCGUCUGAUUAGCUAGUUGGUAGGGUAAAGGCCUACAAAGGCGACGAUCAGUAGCUGGUCUGAGAGGACGAUCAGCCACACUGGAACUGAGACACGGUCCAGACUCCUACGGGAGGCAGCAGUGAGGAAUUUUCUGCAAUGAGCGAAAGCUUGACAGAGCAAUACCGCGUGAGGGAUGAAGGCCUACGGGUUGUAAACCUCUUUUCUCAAGGAGGAAGAUCUGACGUUACUUGAGGAAUAAGCCUCGGCUAACCCUGUGCCAGCAGCCGCGGUAAUACAGGGGAGGCAAGUGUUAUCCGGAAUUAUUGGGCGUAAAGCGUCUGCAGGUUGAUAAUUAAGUCUUUUGUUAAAUCUUCGGGCUUAACCCGAAACCUGCAAAAGAAACUAUUUAUCUUGAGUAUGGUAGAGGUAGAGGGAAUUUCCAGUGGAGCGGUGAAAUGCGUAGAUAUUGGAAAGAACACCAACAGCGAAGGCACUCUACUGGGCCAUUACUGACACUCAGAGACGAAAGCUAAGGGAGCAAACAGGAUUAGAUACCCUGGUAGUC